rnacentral:rRNA from 1 species
CCCCUAGUAACUGCGAGUGAAGCGGAAAAGCUCAAAUUUAAAAUCUGGCGGUCCUUGCGGCCGUCCGAGUUGUAAUCUAGAGAAGUGUUAUCCGCGCUGGACCGUGUACAAGUCUCCUGGAAUGGAGCGUCAUAGAGGGUGAGAAUCCCGUCUUUGACACGGACUGCCAGGGCUUUGUGAUGCGCUCUCGAAGAGUCGAGUUGUUUGGGAAUGCAGCUCAAAAUGGGUGGUAAAUUCCAUCUAAAGCUAAAUAUUGGCGAGAGACCGAUAGCGAACAAGUACCGUGAGGGAAAGAUGAAAAGAACUUUGGAAAGAGAGUUAAACAGUACGUGAAAUUGUUGAAAGGGAAACGCUUGAAGUCAGUCGCGUCGUUCAGGAUCAACCUUGCAUUUUUGUGGGCGUACUUCCUGUUCGACGGGUCAGCAUCAAUUUUGACCGUCGGAUAAAGGCUUGGGGAAUGUGGCAUCUUCGGAUGUGUUAUAGCCCUGGGUCGCAUACGACGGUUGGGAUUGAGGAACUCAGCACGCCGCAAGGCCGGGUGUUCGCACCACGUACGUGCUUAGGAUGCUGGCAUAAUGGCUUUAAUCGACCCGUCUUGAAACACGGACCAAGGAGUCUAACAUGCCCGCGAGUGUUUGGGUGGUAAACCCGAGCGCGUAAUGAAAGUGAAAGUUGAGAUCUCUGUCGUGGAGAGCAUCGACGCCCGGACCAGAACUUUUGUGACGGAUCUGCGGUAGAGCGUGUAUGUUGGGACCCGAAAGAUGGUGAACCUAUGCCUGAAUAGGGUGAAGCCAGAGGAAACUCUGGUGGAGGCUCGUAGCGAUUCUGACGUGCAAAUCGAUCGUCGAAUUUGGGUAUA